rnacentral:lncRNA from 1 species
CUUCAAGCUUCCAUAACUCUCUCAAGUUAGUCUCAAAUUUCAUGCUUUUGUGCACCUUUUCACAAGCCCUUUGUGCUCUUUUACUCUUUCACCUUAAAAACCCUCCAAAGUCUUAAACCAAUACUUUCUCUCACUAGCUAGGUGUUUUAGAGAGAGAAAGAAAGACUCUCUAUAAUAGUUUGAGAAUUCUUGAGGAGGAAUCCAAUUACAAAUCUAGCAAGGUGAGUGUUGAAAUUGAGUUGAUAUUUUAGUUGCUAAUAAUGUCUAGUAAUUUGAUUUAUGAGUGUUUUAUUGUUGAGAUUGUUUAAUCAUUUUUAGUGUGGCUAGAGUAGUGUAAAUAGUAUCCAUUUAAUGGUAGUUGGAAGCUAGUAGAAAUUACUAGUAGAACUCAAUUUAGAAAAUAGCUUUGGAAUAGUAUUAAUGCCAAGUUGGGUUGAUGGUGAUGAUGCUAAUGUGAUGAUAGGUUCCAACGAAG